UUGCCCUGAAGGUAUCUGAGAUUGCAGGGA
rnacentral:piRNA from 2 species